rnacentral:lncRNA from 1 species
CACCCCCUGGUGCACCGCAGUAACAGCCACGAUUCUGCUCCAUUUCCUGCGGCAGAUUCCACGCGGCUCCAUCACUCCACGACCCUGCUCCACCUCCUGCGAUGGAUUCCACGCGGCUCCAUCACUCCCUGGCAGGCCGUAAUAAUGGCCAUGGUCCUGCUCCACUUCCUGCGACGGAUACCGCGCGAUUCUCCUAUCCUCUGGCA